rnacentral:rRNA from 1 species
UACGGAGGGUGCAAGCGUUAUCCGGAUUCACUGGGCUUAAAGGGUGCGUAGGUGGGUCUGUAAGUCAGUGGUGAAAUCUUCGAGCUUAACUCGGAAACUGCCGUUGAUACUAUCUGUCUUGAAUACCGUGGAGAUGAGCGGAAUAUGUCAUGUAGCGGUGAAAUGCUUAGAUAUGACAUAGAACACCAAUUGCGAAGGCAGCUCGUUGGACGCAUAUUGACGCUGAGGCUCGAAAGCGUGGGGAUCAAACAGG